UAUGGUUUGCAGACCAGGAAUAUGGGUAGGCCUUAGGAGUGUACAGAAAUGCAGAAUCUCAGGCCACAUUCCCCCACACCCCCAACCCACUGCGUCAGAAUCUGCAUGUAAACAAGCUCCCGGGAGAUCUGUGUGCAUAUGAACGUUUAAGAAACACUGGCUUGGACCCUGACUGUAGUCGUCCAGUAUUAUAAAUUAGCUGACAGUGACCAGAAGCCCUGUCACCUGUUGAAGAAGCAUAUGUGUCCUUUUAACUUUAAUGUGUUUAUAUAUGUCUUCUUAUGUUGAGAAGUUGCAUGAGGCCUCUCUGAUAGGGAAGAGUGGUUGCUCAGAGCUAGAGAGAUUACUGAGAAUUCUUUGGCUCUUGACUCUGCAGACUUCUGGAAUUGUUAUAGGAUGAAAUGUGUAUUUCCCACCCCCCAUUCAUAAGUUGAAGUUCUAACCCCCAGGGCCUCAGAUGUGGCUAUAUUUGGAGAGGAGGUCUUCAAAGAGGUAAUUAAGUUAAAUGAGGUCAUUAGGAUGGGCCUUACAACCCAGUAUGACUGCUGUUCUUAUAAGAAGAGGAGAAGAGGACACAGACACAUAGAGGGAAGACCAUGUGAGGACACAGGGAGAAGACAACCAUCUACAAGCCAAGGAGAGCGGCCUCAGGGAAAACCAAGACUGCCAACGCCUAGAUCUUGGACUUCCAGCCUCCAGAGCUGUGAGACAACAUAGGUCUGUUGCUUAAGCUGCCCAGCCCGCCGUGCUUUGUUAUGGGAGCCCAGGCAACUAGCACGGGGCUCCUCAGCGCUUCACAAACUCCCUCGGCCUGCAAAGCAGUGUUCCAUCUUCCUCACCACCCUCUUUGUACCUGAAUCCUUACAGCUGAGCAAGCUGUUUGCAUGCUCAUCUCAUGUUCCUGGGAAUUUCAACCCUUGGGUGCAGUCCAGCAAACCCCACCCCUGCAGAUUCGUCAUGCCCUGUCCCUCGGGCCCUCCCGCUUUCUUUCAAAAAAAAAAACAGCUCCUGAAGCUGCGGAUGCCUCUGCCUUUGCUCCAGGGUGGAUCAUAGUUGGUCCAAGGGACUGGGUGAGACGGAUUUCGUGCCAUCUCCUCUUGUCCACAUUUCUCUCCAAGAUGGCGGUUCAUAAAGACGUCUUCCCCAUUCCUUGUAGCCAAAUUGGAAAAAUUAAAGUGCUCCAUGCAUAUCAUGUGCUGUUAGCACUCAGCUCCACAGCUGCCCCCAGAACGCCUUCCCCAGUCCCUGUUGCUAGCUGCUUCCCAGGUAAGGGCUGUCAGUGGAAGCCCUAGCAGGAAACCGGAAAACAAGAGCUUCCUGUUUCCGGCUCAGGAAGCCGCAAGUGCAGCUGCAGCUCCGGGAGCAGCUUCCUGAUCUCUGGGUAACCCCCAACCCCUCGUAUGUUACGUCUGCAGUGAUGCCAACACACUUGUAAGCAAUACAUUGCGUUAAAUUCCAUUCUCCUCUAACUAUGCAGGGCGAUUUCUGUUUCUCUCUCUGGGUAUUGACUGACACAACAUGCAGAUGAGCUGAUGCAAACACACCCUGAUCAGGCGUGUGUCUGGAUGGGGGUCCAGGGGGAAGGGGUCCCUGGCUUCUCAAGCCAAUUUCUUCUCUGCUCUACUCAACCCCGAGCGCCUUGGCCACUGUGGCUUUUGUAGCACAGCCUUGGGACAUCCCUGGUGGCGCAGUAGUUCAGAAUCCGUCAGCAAUGCAGGGGACACAGGUUCGAGCCCUGGUUGGGGAAGAUUCCACAGGCCACGGAGCAACAAAGCCCGUGCGGCACAACUACUGCGCCUGCGCUCUGGAGCCCGCGAGCCACAACUACUGAGCCCGCGAGCCACAACUGUUGAAGCCCGUGCACCUAGAGCCCGUGCUCUGCAACAAGAGAAGCCACCGCAGUGAGAAGCCCGCGCACAGCAACGAAGAGUAGCCCCAGCUCCCGCAACUAGAGGAAGCCCGCGUGCAGCAACAAAGACCCAAUGCGGCCAAAACCACCACCAACAGAAAACUCAGCCUUGCAUUCCGUGCCGGGAGGAGAGUCCUAUGCAGCUCAGGCCUCUAGAUUCCUAUGCCUUUUAAAAAAAUUUAGUUUUUUCAGCUUUUAUUGGUGUCAAGUUAGGCAUGUUGUUGUUUUGGACUUUAAAAGGUACCGCAUUCUACCAGGUUUGUUAGAAAAAGUAGCAGUAGCCCCUUGGUCCCUCUCCCAGAAGCAAUUCUUUUUAUUCCUUUUAGCUGAUAAUUUUGGGAUUUAUCUCAAUAACUCUAAAGAACAUGGCUUUAUUGCUUUUUGCUUUUUCUUUUUAGUUUUAAGCUCCAUGGAAUGUGAGGAUAAAACUAUGUUUUCCCAA